CACCCAGCUGCCCUUCCAGGACCAGCCUCAAAUCCAGACAAGUGACAGACUCACGGGGGGCAGGCGCCAGUGUGAGUGGAAAUCACUGGAUCGAUGAUCAAGGGGAUUGUUGCCCAGCUUUCAGUGGCGCGUUGGAGUCUUUUGAGGAAUUCAUCUUGAAACCCGGGAUUUAUUGAGAGCUAAAAGGUUUUUGAAGUUUCCAGUGUUUCCCUUCACAUAUCAAAAGUAAAACGAGGAGGUUUUACUCCAAGCCGUGAUGUUGAAAGAAACAAGACAUAUGGUGCAGAGUUUCCCUCCCAAGGAAGGCGAAAACCUCUUUCAGUCACUGAAGAGUGGGGCACAGAGAGGAGGCAGAGGUUCCAAUGUGAGAGCCCUUGCUCUGUUCUGGAGGAUGAAUUCCCUUUGGUCUACAGAAACAGCCAAAUAUAUUGGGCUGUCCCUGGGUCCCAAACUGCUUCCUUGGGUCCAGCUUGGGGCGACUCUAGGUGUGUCAGAGAUGUGCUCAUUCAGCACAGCAUCACGUCCAUCAUGGCAAGAAGCAAGGGCCCACCGUGGAAGAGGAAGGUGCCUGGAGAAAUGGUUCUAGCAGCACAGUUCCUGGGAUUUGUAUGUGGUGUCAGCAGAUCCAGGAGUUCUGACGUGUCCCAGUGAGGGAACAUGGCUGUGGAGAAAGGUGUGCUGGAUGGGGAGAGGUCUGGGGUCAGAGGAACAGGGGGUCCUUGUGGCCACAGUCGGUGGUGAGGUCCCUGGUCCUUGGUGGCAGGAACCAUUGAAACGCCUUAAAAGUCCAGGACCCAUCAUCUAAGACUCCUCAAGACUACAGCGCCGAGGCAAGCAGCAUUGCCUUGUUGAUUUUGUUCUUAGAAUAUAAAUGUCGGAAUAAUGAUAGCUACUAUGGCUGAGCAGAAUGGCUUCACGAUUCUAAAAGUCUGCCAGAUGUUAGUGCUAAGUCCAACCAGGGCUUUGUGAACUCUUCUGAGAGGUCGUAAAGACAAAGGCUUUGGAGUCAGAUGGACCUGGGGUUACCCCUGGCUCUGCCAUCUACUUACUCUGCAACCUUGGGGACAUCUGCCUUGCAGGAUUUUGGGGAGGAUUAGCAAACAUGUGUAAAUCACCUUAAGUCUAUGCGUAUGCUCAGUACAGAGAAGAUAACUCAAGAAAUGGAUGUUGUUCUUUUUUAAAAAAAUUGAAAGGUAGUUUGUUUAGUGUUGUGUUUCAAGUAUACGGCAGAGUGAUUUGGGUCACUUUCAUAUAUACAGAUUCUUUCUAUGCAUUACGAGAUAUUGAUUCUAGCUCCUUGUGCUAUACAGUAGGUCCUUGUUGUUCACCAUUUGUAUACACAGUGGUGUGUAUAUGUUAGUACCAAACUCCUAAAAUAUCUCCCCACCCCUUCCUGCUGUCGCCUUUGGUAAUCAUAAAUUUGUUUUCUU
rnacentral:lncRNA from 1 species